rnacentral:tRNA from 1 species
GCCUUCAUGGUGUAGUGAUCAGCACGCUCGACGCGAAACCGAGAGGUUCGUGGUUCGAUUCCCCGCGAAGCCG